GCGAACGGGUGAGUAAUAUAUCGGAACGUACCAUUCAGUGGGGGGUAACGUAGCGAAAGUUACGCUAAUACCGCAUAUUCUGUGAGCAGGAAAGCAGGGGAUCGCAAGACCUUGCGCUGAUUGAGCGGCCGAUAUCAGAUUAGCUUGUUGGUGAGGUAAAAGCUCACCAAGGCGACGAUCUGUAGCGGGUCUGAGAGGAUGAUCCGCCACACUGGAACUGAGACACGGUCCAGACUCCUACGGGAGGCAGCAGUGGGGAAUUUUGGACAAUGGGGGCAACCCUGAUCCAGCCAUGCCGCGUGAGUGAAGAAGGCCUUCGGGUUGUAAAGCUCUUUCAGCCGGGAAGAAAACGCAUGGGUUAAUACCCUGUGUGGAUGACGGUACCGGAAUAAGAAGCACCGGCUAACUACGUGCCAGCAGCCGCGGUAAUACGUAGGGUGCGAGCGUUAAUCGGAAUUACUGGGCGUAAAGCGUGCGCAGGCGGUUUUGUAAGACAGGCGUGAAAUCCCCGGGCUUAACCUGGGAACUGCGUUCGUGACUGCAAGGCUAGAGUACGGCAGAGGGGGGUGGAAUUCCACGUGUAGCAGUGAAAUGCGUAGAGAUGUGGAGGAACACCAAUGGCGAAGGCAGCCCCCUGGGUCGAUACUGACGCUCAUGCACGAAAGCGUGGGUAGCAAACAGGAUUAGAUACCCUGGUAGUCCACGCCCUAAACGAUGUCAACUAGGUGUUGGGAGGGUAAAACCUUUUAGUACCGGAGCUAACGCGUGAAGUUGACCGCCUGGGGAGUACGGCCGCAAGGUUAAAACUCAAAGGAAUUGACGGGGACCCGCACAAGCGGUGGAUGAUGUGGAUUAAUUCGAUGCAACGCGAAAAACCUUACCUACCCUUGACAUGCCAAGAACUUUCCAGAGAUGGAUUGGUGCCCGAAAGGGAACUUGGACACAGGUGCUGCAUGGCUGUCGUCAGCUCGUGUCGUGAGAUGUUGGGUUAAGUCCCGCAACGAGCGCAACCCUUGUCGUUAAUUGCCAUCAUUUAGUUGGGCACUUUAACGAGACUGCCGGUGACAAACCGGAGGAAGGUGGGGAUGACGUCAAGUCCUCAUGGCCCUUAUGGGUAGGGCUUCACACGUCAUACAAUGGUCGGUACAAAGGGUCGCCAAGCCGCGAGGUGGAGCCAAUCCCAGAAAGCCGAUCGUAGUCCGGAUCGCAGUCUGCAACUCGACUGCGUGAAGUCGGAAUCGCUAGUAAUCGUGGAUCAGAAUGUCACGGUGAAUACGUUCCCGGGUCUUGUACACACCGCC
rnacentral:rRNA from 1 species